rnacentral:rRNA from 1 species
AGUGAACGCUGGCGGUAGGCCUAACACAUGCAAGUCGAACGGCAGCACAGUAAGAGCUUGCUCUUACGGGUGGCGAGUGGCGGACGGGUGAGGAAUACAUCGGAAUCUACUUUUUCGUGGGGGAUAACGUAGGGAAACUUACGCUAAUACCGCAUACGACCUACGGGUGAAAGCAGGGGAUCUCGGACCUUGCGCGAUUGAAUGAGCCGAUGUCGGAUUAGCUAGUUGGCGGGGUAAAGGCCCACCAAGGCGACGAUCCGUAGCUGGUCUGAGAGGAUGAUCAGCCACACUGGAACUGAGACACGGUCCAGACUCCUACGGGAGGCAGCAGUGGGGAAUAUUGGACAAUGGGCGCAAGCCUGAUCCAGUCAUACCGCGUGGGUGAAGAAGGCCUUCGGGUUGUAAAGCCCUUUUGUUGGGAAAGAAAAGCAGCAGGUUAAUACCCCGCUGUUCUGACGGUACCCAAAGAAUAAGCACCGGCUAACUUCGUG